rnacentral:rRNA from 1 species
AUUGAACGCUGGCGGCAGGCUUAACACAUGCAAGUCGAACGGUGAAGCCCUUCGGGGUGGAUCAGUGGCGAACGGGUGAGUAACACGUGAGCAACCUGCCCCUGACUCUGGGAUAACUACCGGAAACGGUGGCUAAUACCGGAUAUUACUUGCCUGGGCAUCUGGGUGGGUGGAAAGUUUUUCGGUUGGGGAUGGGCUCGCGGCCGAUCAGCUUGUUGGUGGGGUGAUGGCCUACCAAGGCGACGACGGGUAGCCGGCCUGAGAGGGCGACCGGCCACACUGGGACUGAGACGCGGCCCAGAAUCCUACGGGAGGCAGCAGAGGGGAAUAUUGCGCAAUGGGCGAAAGCCUGACGCAGCGACGCCGCGUGGGGGAUGAAGGCCUUCGGGUUGUAAACCUCUUUCAGCAGGGAAGAAGCGUGAGUGACGGUACCUGCAGAAGAAGCACCGGCUAACUACGUGCCAGCCGCCGCGGUAA